rnacentral:rRNA from 1 species
CUAGCGAGCCCAACCUCCCACCCGUGUUUACUGUACCUUAGUUGCUUCGGCGGGCCCGCCAUUCAUGGCCGCCGGGGGCUCUCAGCCCCGGGCCCGCGCCCGCCGGAGACACCACGAACUCUGUCUGAUCUAGUGAAGUCUGAGUUGAUUGUAUCGCAAUCAGUUAAAACUUUCAACAAUGGAUCUCUUGGUUCCGGCAUCGAUGAAGAACGCAGCGAAAUGCGAUAACUAGUGUGAAUUGCAGAAUUCCGUGAAUCAUCGAGUCUUUGAACGCACAUUGCGCCCCCUGGUAUUCCGGGGGGCAUGCCUGUCCGAGCGUCAUUGCUGCCCAUCAAGCACGGCUUGUGUGUUGGGUCGUCGUCCCCUCUCCGGGGGGGACGGGCCCCAAAGGCAGCGGCGGCACCGCGUCCGAUCCUCGAGCGUAUGGGGCUUUGUCACCCGCUCUGUAGGCCCGGCCGGCGCUUGCCGAACGCAAAUCAAUCUUUUUCCAGGUUGACCUCGGAUCAGGUAGGGAUACCCGCUGAACUUAAGCAUAUCAAUA